UUAGGCUUGCGGGCACGUAGAAGGGCGAGGAAAACAGAAUUUAUUGGGCAAAAAGGAAAAAGGCAAAAUAACUCUUAGCAAAGAGAAAGAGUCCUGCUAGAAGAUUUACCGCCUCACAGAUUGAAUCCCAGGUCACCACACAGCACCAGGAGAGGCCAGGCUCCUCCUCGUGGCAAACGCCAUGAACUUCCUGAGGCUCCACACCGUCCCCGCAGUGUGCAGGCUGUACAGGGAGCAUGGAUGCAUCUGCUUCUGGGGAGACCUGAGGGAGCUUUAAUUCAUGGUGGAAAGCAAAGCAGGAGCAGACAUCUUACAUGGAAGGAGCAUAACUACCACCUGUGCUGUCUUCUCAAGUUCCCUUAGAAAAGGAAUCACGUUUCAUCAAGGUCCUCAUGUUGUAGAAUGAAAUCUCUCUGACCCAUUGUAUAGCUUAAAGAUGCAAAACCCUGAAUUCUCUUAAUUAAAAAAGUAGAACCAGGGAAACCAACUCAACCUGUUGCUCUGAAUCUGAAGAGAAGUGCUAUUUGGUGAAAGCACCUCCUCAGAUUUAUGACCAGUUCAGCAUCCACAGACAGUAAUGAAGAAUAACUUUAAUAAUCAAUACUCUAUAAGGAUAGGGACUGUCAUCAGAAAAGACACCGAAAUCUUCCCUUGUCAAAUAAAUGAACAAAAAUCACUCCCAUUUGCUCACUGAUGCUUGAAAUUUCUUUAACAUGAAUUAAAUAUUUCUGGUGAAGCCAUAUGUAAUUUUGGUUAAAAGUUUAGGUAUUUACCUGGCAAACCAAAUGCAACAGACAAGAAAAAGAAAUAAAGGGUAUUCAAUUAGGA